CUGUUCCCUUAUCAUAUGAUGGAGGGCUGUGCCAAGUUCCCCAUUUGGGGGAAUGUUCAGAUGCCAAUAGCUUACAGAACAGAAGAAGCAAAAUGACCACGCACAGCCCAACAAUGUGCAGUAAUUUUCAAUAGCAGAACAAAAAGAUGCCUAGAUGUCUGCUAUGCUGCAUUUUGUAAAAACAAAGCUGAUGAUGGGGAAGGACAAGAAAGUCUCAAAAUUUUUCAAGCUGAUGAAUAAAAUCAUAAAAGUUCAGCACCAGCACAAGAAUCCAGAAACAAGAACCUGUUCCCUGAGAUUGGUCACUGAAACCCAAGAAUCACCUGAUCUGACUGCUGACCCUGAAGGAGGCAUCCACAGUUAUUCAAAAUAAAAAAUCCCAGAUCCUGGACUCCACAGGGAAGAAUAUGUCAGAAGACAGAGUGUGAAACUGCAAUUAUGAUGAUUGAACUGCCCGAGGACAAUCCCUGUAUGAACUGGCUACAUUCCACUGUUGCCAAACACUGUACAGUCUGUUCAUGUUUUAAAGUGUUUGUUUUGCCCUGGGUAUUGAUAGUUUCUUAUGUCAGGGACAAACACCUCUAGGAUGCAGUAUGUACAUCUGAUAAGGUUGGGUCUUCGAAUACAGAAAAUCAUACCUCUUUAAUACCUAUCAGAACCAGGAUUUAUGAGCCUCAGGGCAUCCUGAAACCUAUUUGCAAGGUAUCUGGUAGCAUGUCCACACAUGGGAUGGGUGAAUUGAUUUGUUUCAAGAACAGUCACUGAGUAUAAUACACACAAGGGAAAGAGCCAUGCUGGCACAUGAAACCCCACACCAAAUUUCUCAAGCAUUCAUUCUCACGCCUCAAGUACAGCACUAAAUUACUAAACCAGGAGUGUGAGAAGCUCUACAUACAGGGAUAUCUUUGGAAUCUGCAUAUCACAUGGUUUCCAAAUAAUUCCUAUAGAUGUGGGGAAUCUCACAUAGCAUUCGUUUUUUAAAGGCAAACUAGAAUAUGAGCUAGAAAUUAUAUCAAUGUCUGAGCCAGGGCUGGCCCAAGACACUUUGAAACCUGAGGCAAAGGACAAGAUGAUGCCCCGUCCCAAAGCAGGGCAGAGAAGCUGAUGAAACUGACAGUCAAAUCUUGCUUCAGCUCCGGAGAUGGGAUGGCAUCUUCUACUUCACAUAAGGCAGCAGGUUAGCUUAGGGACCCCAGGACAGGUCGUGUGGUCUAGGUAGCUGUAUCCUCCCACAGAGAGGAACAGCUGGGGAAUCCAUGAGAAGUAGACUAGAGCUGAGACCACUGCUUCCCCCAGUUCCAUGAUCUGCUACUUGAGGCAGCUGGCUCACAGUCUUAUUGGUAGAGCUGAUCCUAGAGUGGGGGAAACAUUAUACAUGUCUGUGCUGUUUUGUGAAAAUCUUCUGCAUCUGAGUCUCUUUUCAUAGUUGCAGUUGUCAAAAUCACACAGGGGUUUCUCAUAGCUAUCUAUGAGAAGA